CGCAAGUUAAAUGUUACUCCCUCCGUUCUAUGAAGAUUGGCGUGACUUUGAACUAACUAUAGCUACAGUUCAAAACCAUGUCAAUUUUGCGUGGAACUGAGGGAGCCGCCAAAUUCGGUUUCGGUUCGAC